AUGGCUGCUGCUCACCGGACUAGGUGGGAGACGCCGUCUCUCGCUGCCACAGAUGUGUUUUGAUCGUGGAUCAAAACCUUCAACUGAUCACACGGUUUGACAAGUUGGAACUGGUAAUCCUGGCAGGAUCGAUGGGGAGUUGGUGUCUGUCUCCAGUAGUCAAUGGGUUGGAGUCACCAGUCUAUCAGACCAACACAGAGAGAGACACACAAGAUGAGCAACCAUGCACACACACACACACACCCAUACCUGGCUGAGGGCAAAAUAGAGGUCUUCAAAAAUUAUUGUAUUUUCAAACGUCAAUCUUUUGCCAUCAUUACCUUGCUGACAUCAUCUGGGAUUUCCAUUGUUUUAAAACUUUGCAAUCUUUCUGUAUGUAAACUU